AGCGAACGCUGGCGGCAGGCUUAACACAUGCAAGUCGAGCGGGCAUCCUUGUGGUGUCAGCGGCAGACGGGUGAGUAACGCGUGGGAACGUGCCCUUCGGUUCGGAAUAACUCAGGGAAACUUGAGCUAAUACCGGAUACGUGCGAGAGCAGAAAGGUUUAUCUGCCGAAGGAUCGGCGCGCGUCUGAUUAGCUAGUUGGUGAGGUUAUGGCUCACCAAGGCGACGAUCAGUAGCUGGUCUGAGAGGAUGAUCAGCCACACUGGGACUGAGACACGGCCCAGACUCCUACGGGAGGCAGCAGUGGGGAAUAUUGGACAAUGGGGGCAACCCUGAUCCAGCCAUGCCGCGUGAGUGAUGACGGCCUUAGGGUUGUAAAGCUCUUUUCUCCGGGACGAUAAUGACGGUACCGGAGGAAUAAGCCCCGGCUAACUUCGUG
rnacentral:rRNA from 1 species